CAGUCGAGCGGAUGAGUGGAGCUUGCUCCAUGAUUCAGCGGCGGACGGGUGAGUAAUGCCUAGGAAUCUGCCUGGUAGUGGGGGACAACGUUUCGAAAGGAACGCUAAUACCGCAUACGUCCUACGGGAGAAAGUGGGGGAUCUUCGGACCUCACGCUAUCAGAUGAGCCUAGGUCGGAUUAGCUAGUUGGUGAGGUAAAGGCUCACCAAGGCGACGAUCCGUAACUGGUCUGAGAGGAUGAUCAGUCACACUGGAACUGAGACACGGUCCAGACUCCUACGGGAGGCAGCAGUGGGGAAUAUUGGACAAUGGGCGAAAGCCUGAUCCAGCCAUGCCGCGUGUGUGAAGAAGGUCUUCGGAUUGUAAAGCACUUUAAGUUGGGAGGAAGGGCAGUAAGUUAAUACCUUGCUGUUUUGACGUUACCAACAGAAUAAGCACCGGCUAACUUCGUGCCAGCAGCCGCGGUAAUACGAAGGGUGCAAGCGUUAAUCGGAAUUACUGGGCGUAAAGCGCGCGUAGGUGGUUCGUUAAGUUGGAUGUGAAAGCCCCGGGCUCAACCUGGGAACUGCAUCCAAAACUGGCGAGCUAGAGUAUGGCAGAGGGUGGUGGAAUUUCCUGUGUAGCGGUG
rnacentral:rRNA from 1 species